rnacentral:rRNA from 1 species
AGCGAACGCUAGCGGCGGGCCUAACACAUGCAAGUCGAACGCGUACCUUCGGGUACGAGUGGCGAACGGGUGAGUAACACGUAGGUAUCUGCCUUUCGGUGGGGGAUAACCCGGGGAAACUCGGGCUAAUACCGCAUAUGGUCUACGGAUCAAAGCCUUCGGGCGCCGGAAGAUGAGCCUGCGGCCCAUUAUUUAAUCCUAGUUGGCGGGGUAACGGCCCACCAAGGGUACGAUGGGUAGCUGGUCUGAGAGGAUGAUCAGCCACACUGGAACUGAGACACGGUCCAGACUCCUACGGGAGGCAGCAGUGGGGAAUAUUGCGCAAUGGGCGAAAGCCUGACGCAGCCACGCCGCGUGGGAGAUGAAGGCCUCGGGUUGUAAACCCUGUCGUGGGGAAGAACGCAAUGACGGUA